UACGGGGGGGGGCAAGCGUUGUUCGGAAUUACUGGGCGUAAAGGGCUCGUAGGCGGCUCAGUAAGUCAGGUGUGAAAACUCCAGGCUCAACCUGGAGACGCCAUCUGAUACUGCUGUGGCUAGAGUCCGGUAGGGGAGCAGUGGAAUUCCUGGUGUAGCGGUGAAAUGCGCAGAUAUCAGGAGGAACACCAGUGGCGAAGGCGGUGCUCUGGGCCGGAACUGACGCUGAGGAGCGAAAGCGUGGGGAGCAAACAGG
rnacentral:rRNA from 1 species